rnacentral:rRNA from 1 species
AGGAGUUAGUCAGAAGGGGUACAGCUCUUCUGAUAAAAAAAACAACUUUAGCAAGUGAAACAGGAUCAUAUCAAUUAAGGAUUAAGAUUUAAGUGGGCCUAAAAGCAGCCAUCUUUAAAGAAAGCGUUAAAGCUCCAACUAGUUCCUUCCCCCCUUUUAUACUGAUAUUAAAUUUCCUCUCCCCUGCUACCUACCGGGCUAUCUUAUGCCCCCAUAAGAAUAAUUAUGCUAAAAUGAGUAAUAAGAAGAAACAUUUCUUCUCCCAGCAUACGUGUAAGUCGAACCGGAUUCCCCAUCGACUAUUAUCCGAUCCCAACCCCAGAGGGCCCUAAGUUAAAUAAACAAGAAAAUCACUUAGUUAAAAUCGUUUAUCUUACACAAGAAUGCAUCAAGGAAAGACUAAAAGGGGAGGAAGGAACUCGGCAAACCCAAGCCUCGCCUGUUUACCAAAAACAUCGCCUCUUGAUCUAUAAGUAUAAGAGGUCUCGCCUGCCCAGUGACUGAAUGUUAAACGGCCGUGGUAUCUUAACCAUGCGAAGGUAGCGUAAUCACUUGUCUUUUAAAUGAAGACCUGUAUGAAUGGCAAAACGAGGGCUUAACUGUCUCCCUUCCCCAGUCAAUGAAAUUGACCUCCCCGUGCAGAGGCGGGGAUAAAUUUAUAAGACGAGAAGACCCUGUGGAGCUUCAGACUUAAAAUAACCACGUUAAACAAACUUCAAAAUAAGAAAAAACUUAGUGAAUUUUAUUUAAAUGUCUUUGGUUGGGGUGACCGCGGGGCAAAACACAGCCCCCAUGAAGAUAGGGGAGAUAUCCCUAACACCAAGAGUUACCCCUCUAAGCAACAAAAAUUUUGACUUUAAAAAUGAUCCGGCUCAGCCGAUUAACGAACCCAGUUACCCCAGGGAUAACAGCGCAAUCCCCUCCCAGAGCCCUUAUCGACGAGGGGGUUUACGACCUCGAUGUUGGAUCAGGACAUCCUAAUGGUGCAGCCGCUA